rnacentral:rRNA from 1 species
AUGGGAACAUGCCCCCCUCUCUGGACCGCCCGAUCGAGUCUUUGUAAAGAUGCUACGAUGUACAGUGAUGAUGUUAUGCUUAGAAACAAAAUCAUAGAUGUAAUGGAACUAUGGAAGAGUCUUUGUAAGAUGAUUGUGUCAAAUUUGAUUUAUAAUCUCCCUAAAAAAUUACAAUGGUGGCAUCAAUUGUUCGCUGAUUCUGAAAUGCCAGCUGCUACAAAUCUACAACCUGACAAUCCCAAAGAAAACAUAAAUAACAAUAUUAUAUGUAACUCCCCUCAUUCUGAGUUUCAGAAUAUGCCACUCCAUGUGUCACUGAAAUGUGGGCAUGGGCCCUGCAUGUCAGUGAUCUUGAAGGGGUCACAUCAUGAAAUGCAACUUAAGAGGAGUGACAUAAAAAAUCAUUCAAACUAA